rnacentral:rRNA from 1 species
GACGAACCGUGCGAACGUUGUUCGGAAUCACUGGGCUUAAAGGGCGCGUAGGCGGUUUUGUAAGUCGAAUGUGAAAGCCCAGGGCUCAACCUUGGAAGUGCAUCCGAAACUGCGAAACUUGAAUCCUGGAGAGGGUGGUGGAAUUCCCAGUGUAGAGGUGAAAUUCGUAGAUAUUGGGAGGAACACCGGUGGCGAAGGCGACCACCUGGACAGAGAUUGACGCUGAGGCGCGAGAGCGUGGGGAGCAAACAGG